rnacentral:rRNA from 1 species
GCGUAAGAACCUGCCCUUAGGAGGGGGACAACAGCUGGAAACGGCUGCUAAUACCCCAUAUGCUGAGGAGUAAAACGGUGUAAACCGCCUAGGGAUGGGCUUGCGCCUGAUUAGCUAGUUGGUAAGGUAAAAGCGUACCAAGGCGACGAUCAGUAGCUGGUCUGAGAGGAUAACCAGCCACAUUGGGACUGAGACACGGCCCAGACUCCUACGGGAGGCAGCAGUGAGGAAUUUUCCGCAAUGGGCGCAAGCCUGACGGAGCAAUGCCGCGUGAAGGAAGAAGGCCCGUGGGUUGUAAACUUCUUUUCUUAGAGAAGAAUCCGAGAGGAGGACGGUAUUUGAGGAAUAAGCAUCGGCUAACCCUGUGCCAG